UACGUAGGGGGCAAGCGUUGUCCGGAAUCAUUGGGCGUAAAGAGCGUGUAGGCGGCUCGGUAAGUCCGCUGUGAAAGUCCAGGGCUCAACCCUGGAAUGCCGGUGGAAACUGUCGAGCUAGAGUCCGGAAGAGGCGAGUGGAAUUCCUGGUGUAGCGGUGAAAUGCGCAGAUAUCAGGAGGAACACCAAUGGCGAAGGCAGCUCGCUGGUACGGUACUGACGCUGAGACGCGAAAGCGUGGGGAGCGAACAGG
rnacentral:rRNA from 1 species